CCCUCCCGCCUCCCCCCCUCCGCGAUAACCCUAGUUCCUCUUCUUCUCUUCUUUUCGUUCCCAUCUUCGCCACUGAGGUCGUUCACAUCUUCCCAUCUUGGCCGUUGAGCACCCCUCUCUUCGCAGCACGACCCCUAUCUUCUGUUCUUCGAGUUCAACCGCUGAGCCAGCCCUCUGUUCGCAGUACACCACACAUACCCCUCUCUUCUCACACAGCCCUCUCUAGGGUUUACUCAGCUGUUCUUGAGCUCCGAUCCUUGUUAUUGAUUUUGAGGAGAGAGAAAGACAGAUUUCCUUGAAGACCCGAAUUUCAAUCUCCUUCAUUCUCUCUCAAUGAACUAUGAAGCCUUAGAGGUUCCAAGUUAAACCUCUGCAAAUCUAGCGAGAGAGACAGAGAGAGAAUAUCCUGAAGCCAAGAAUGGGGGGAUAGUACAUGGCUAUCUUGGGAUUGGUGUUCUUAUUCGCUCUCAUCGGAAGAUUAAGUGCUCAGCCAGGUUUCGUAAGCAUAAACUGUUGUGCUCAAACAAACAUCACUGAAUCUGCUACUGGCAUAAAUUGGACCACAGACAGAGGCUUGCAGCAUGAGAGAGGAGUCUGCUUCACUUUGAAAAGCCCCCCUACGGCGCCUUUCCAAUAUAUUCGAGUCUUCAAUGCAGAUGUUGGAAAUAGAUGGUGUUAUUCUCUCAAAACACUCGACAAUGAGGCCUUCUUGAUUAGGGGAAGCUUCGUCAAUGGAAGUUCUCUGUUAUUAUAUGGACUCUCGGUUUUUAAUGUCUCCAUUGAUGCUACCGUCUUGUCUCAAGUGAACGCUGCUCUGGAUCCCACUGUAGUGGAGGCAAUUCUCAGACCUGGAAAGAACUAUGUGAACUUUUGCUUAAUUGAAGGUGUGGGCGAUCCGUUCCUCUCUAAAUUGGAGCUCAGACCAGUGAAAGUGAAGGGAUCAUGGGUUGAAAAUAACAAGAUUCUAAAGCUCAUGAGAAGGGUUGACCUCGGAAAUAUGAAUUUUACUGUAAGGUUUCCCGAUGAUCCAUUUGAUCGAAUCUGGGCCGUCGAUGACCUUGCAUCGGAUGGCGGAGCAACGGUCAUCUACUCCCCCAACGCCACUUCUGGCCUUGAAGGAAUCGGAGCUCAGGUCCCAACCCUAGUUCUUGCUUCUGCUCUCUCGCACCCCUCUCACCUCCAAUUCAUUCUCCAAAGCCUUGAGCAUGGCGUCAACAAAUACCUGGUUUUGCUCUAUUUCAUGGAGCUGAACCCCUUGGUCACUCGACCUGGAGAGAGAGUUUUCCAUAUCUUCGCCAAUGGAGAGAAGAAGUUUGAUAGCUUUGAUAUAUUUGGCAAUGGAUCCUCGAACUCUUCAAAUUACAGAGAAGUUGAGUUCGAGAUGUCUGCAAAGGGGUCUCUCAAUAUAUCUCUCGUCUCUGCUUCGACUGAAUUUGGACCCAUAUGCAAUGGUUAUGAGGUUUAUAGAGUGAUUGAUGCUGUUAUGGGGACCUCACAGAAAAAUGUGGAUGUACUUGCACAAGCUAGGGAUCAGUUACUGGCCAAUAAUCCACAUAACAAUUACACUGUACUGAAUAAGUGGUCUGGAGAUCCAUGCCUGCCUUUGUCUCCAAAUGGGCAGCCAGUACCUUGGGAUGGUUUGGACUGUGAGUUUCAAAAGGGAGUCUUUGUUGUUACCACACUGGACUUGGCAUCAAAUAGCCUUCAAGGACGUGUUCCUACAAUCCUAACAGAGCUGGAUGAGCUGAAGAAACUGAAUCUGAGCCAUAAUCAACUCAGUGGAACCAUCCCAGAGUUUCCAUGUUCAUCUAUGUUAACAUCAGUGGAUAUCCGGUAUAAUGAAUUUACAGGGGCUAUUCCACAAUCUUUUACCUGUCUUCCACAUUUGUCAACUCUGUUACUUGGAUGUAACCCUGAUCUGAGCUCUGACCUUCCUGCUGGUCUAAAUCCAAAUGUUGUGACAGGCUCUGAUGGUUGUGAUACUCAAGAUGAAAUCAAUGGACAAGCCCAACGAAAUACUGUUUUUAUAAGCAGUGUUGCAGGUGGAUCUGUUGCUUUCACUGUUGCAAUUGGAAUAAUCUUCACCUGCUUCUACAGGCGUGGGUUCCAGCGUCAUAGAAGAAAACAGAUUGCUAGCGUGCCUUCAAUUCCAGUAUCCGUGGAUCUGGUUUCAAAGCCCAUUCGGAUUCAGCCCUUUUCUUUGGAGACCAUUGAAGUCACCACAUGUAAGUAUAUGACAAUGAUCGGGGAAGGUGGGUUUGGAGCAGUUUAUCAUGGUAAUCUAAAUGGUCAAGACAUUGCUGUAAAGGUUCGUUCUGCCAUUUCAACUCAGGGAACUCGGGAAUUUGAGAAUGAGUUAAACUUUCUAUCAGCCAUCCAACAUGAGAACCUGGUUCCUCUUCUUGGCUAUUGCUGUGAGAAUGACCAGCAAAUUCUAGUAUAUCCUUUCAUGUCAAAUGGCUCUCUCCAAGAUCGUCUCUAUGGGGAUGCAGCCAAAAGAAAACCUCUGGACUGGCCAACCAGAAUAUCAAUUGCUCUGGGUGCUGCUCGUGGUCUACUCUAUCUCCAUACUUUUGCGGCUCGAUGCAUCAUACACCGGGAUGUUAAAUCUAGUAACAUUCUUUUGGAUCAUAGUAUGUCAGCAAAGGUGGCAGAUUUUGGCUUUUCGAAAUAUGCGCCCCAAGAAGGAGAUAGUGGUGCCUCCUUGGAAGUACGCGGAACGGCUGGCUAUCUGGACCCAGAGUACUACUCGACCCAACAGCUGACUGUGAAGAGCGAUGUAUUCAGCUUCGGAGUGGUGCUGUUGGAGAUCAUAAGUGGCCGUGAGCCUCUCAAUAUACACAGGCCCCGUAGUGAAUGGAGCUUAGUUGAAUGGGCAAAAUCACUUAUAAAGGAGGGGAAGAUAGAGGAUGUAGUGGACCCAACCAUAAGGUCAGCAUAUGCAGGGGAGGCCAUGUGGAGGAUGGUGGAAGCUGCAUUGACUUGUGUAGAGACAUUCGGGACGUAUAGGCCAUCGAUGGAGUAUGUGGUGCGCGAGCUUGAGGAUGCAUUGAUCAUAGAGAACAAUGCGUCCAUGUACAUGAGGUCCAUCGAAAGCUUUGGGUCAUGUCGCUUUCCCUCCCUUGAGAGAAAGAAUUCCCUCUCACCACCCUCUGCCACCCCCUCUGAGCCUUCUCCCAUCAACGCCCAAGCCUUGCCCCUGCCAGUGCCAAGAUAACUCUCUCUCUCUCUCUCAAUUUUAUACAUAAGAAUGUGUCAACCAUUUGUAUAGCAUAAUGAUGGUGAACUUUGAGAAACUAUUUUUUGUCAGGCAUGAUUUUUAUUGGAUUCACAAGCAAUCGUCAAACUUACCUGAUAAUUCUGGUUGUUGCUUUAUUUUUUGCAUUAAAUAUCAUGUUGGCUAAUGUUGAAUGAAAUUCACUUCUGUUGGUGUAGCUUAGACUGAAAAAUUUUAAUACGGAGGCAUGACCUCAAUUUCAUGGAAUUGGGCAUUGAGCUGUUUGCCUUUGAAUCGAGCCAAUGGAGGUGCGAUGAUGUAAACGCCCAAGCUAGGAGGAGCCACUGGAGGUGCCAUGAUGAAAAAGUCCAAACUUCACAAGUUACAGGAUGCAGUUAUCCGAGAAAAAGAUCUGCUUGUGAUAUGAUAUAGUUUUAAAGAAAGAAAAAAAUCUCCUUGUAGUUUUAAAUUUGAUAGAUCAAGCCUUAAAUAAAGAAGUUUUACUUGAAGAAA